UUCCGCCCAAACAUGGUAUUCACUUCCGUGUUUACGACAGUCUGUGAGUCGGUGUUCAUUUACGGCAGGCAGUGUAGGCACAUGUGUUUCCAGAGUCAACAGCGUCUUUCAAGAUCAGAAGGAAAGAGUAUAGUGUGGGAAGAAUGGCAACAAAGAACCAGAAGAUGGCAGUAAUGCAACGUUAAGGAUGCAAGCUGCCGUUAAAACCCGAAGAAGAAGAAGAGGAGUCAACAGCGUGCUCAUUGAUAGUCUAGCCAAUCAUCUUUAAAGGAUCUCUGUCAUGUCAUUCCGCGGGGGUGGUGGUCGAGGAGGGGGUCGUGGCGGUGGUUUUAACAGAGGUGGUGGUCGUGGAGGCGGAUUUGGAGGGGGUCGAGGUGGCAGAGGUGGAUUUCACAGAAAUCAAGACUUCGGACCACCGGAGUAUGUUGUCGCUUUGGGAGAGUUCAUGCACCCCUGUGAGGAUGAUAUGGUCUGUAAAUGUGUGACGGAGGACAACAAAGUGCCCUACUUCAACGCUCCUGUAUUUCUGGAAAACAAAGAGCAAAUUGGAAAAGUGGACGAGAUCUUUGGGCAGCUUCAUGAUUUUUAUUUUUCAGUCAAACUUUCAGAAAAUAUGAAUGCAUCCUCCUUCAAGAAGUUACAGAAGGUAAGUUUAGUCUUUUUGGUUUUUUAGAUGUGUAGUGAUGUUUUGAACCUUAUUCCCAUGGUAAGGAGGGCAGUCAUGGCCUAAUGGUUAGAGUACUUGUAACCGUUGGUUGUAACCCGAAGGUUGCGGGUUUGAGUCUCAGGUCCGGCAGGGAUUGUAGGUCGGGGGAAUGAAUAACCAGCGCGCUCUUCCACCUUCAAUACCACGACUGAGUUCUUCAUUGACCCUAUGAAGCUGAUGCCCCUCCAGAGAUUCCUCCCGAGGCCUCCAGGUGAGAAGGGGCCACCCCGUGGCGGUAGAUGAGGAGGAAGAGGUGGGAGAGGAGGUGGCUUCCGUGGAGGUCGUGGUGGCAAUGGUGGUGGACGUGGAGGAUUUGGUGGGCGUGGAGGUGGUGGAGGAUUCAGAGGAGGCAGAGGUGGAGGCGGUGGACGUGGAUUCAGAGGUGGAAGAUGAUGAAGGUCUCACAGUAUGGAAUGUGUCCUUUCUUCUGCUGGGGAGACUUCCAGUGAGAAGCC